rnacentral:rRNA from 1 species
UACGGAGGGUGCAAGCGUUGUCCGGAUUUAUUGGGUUUAAAGGGUGCGUAGGCGGCCUGUUAAGUCGGCGGUGAAAGUCUGUGGCUCAACCAUGGAACUGCCGUUGAUACUGGCAGGCUUGAGUGCCGGUGGGGUACAUGGAAUUGGUGGUGUAGCGGUGAAAUGCAUAGAUACCAUCAGGAACACCGAUAGCGUAGGCAUUGUACUUACCGGCAACUGACGCUGAGGCACGAAAGCGCGGGUAUCGAACAGG